GAAUAAAUGGUCCUGGAAACAUCAGCUUGCUAAAUAAUUUUCCCUGGAAUUUGAACCUAAGGGAUAGACAUCAUAGUGUCAUGAAAUCCGUGCCAAUGUGGUGCAUUCCUUAUUGCUCUUUUCUGAGAAGAUCCUGAGAUUCUAGGAUGGAAAUGGAAAACAUCUUCCUUUCUGCAGCAUGGGCUUAAUGCCCAGGGGAAUCCAGGGAGCUGCUCUCACCACACUUGCAGCGAGUGGAGCGACGCAAGUUUGGACCUUGAAUUUUAGCUGCCUUUAAAGUUUUUAAAACCAAAAAAAAAAAAAAAAAGAGCCAGGCAUGAUGGUGCACACCUGUAAUCCCAGCACUCAGGAGGCUGAGGCAGGAGCUGUGAGUUCAAGACCAGCCUGGGCUACAUAAUGGGUUCCAGAUCAGUCUAAACUACAUACUAAGAUCCUGUCUCCAAAAAAAAAAAAAAAAAAAAAAAAGUAAGUAAAUAAAUAAAAUAUUUUAAUUUCUUUUAGAUAAAAUUGCUCAGCAUCCCCCCAAAAGUGUCACACGUGGGUGCAGUAGCCCAUUUAGGACCAAAGUUCUUUGAUGAUUAAAGAUCCUGUAGAGGAGGAGGCGGCUGCACACACCUGUACUCCUAAUCGAAGGCUGAAGUGGAAGGAUCAAGAAGAGUGUGUAAGGAUUACUCAUAUCAUGGAUGGAAAAGGAUCAAGUGGGUAUCAAACCAGGGCCUCACACAGGCUGAACUGCGUUCCCAGACGGAGAUAGCUUAUUUUGUUUACCAACAAAUGAAAUUUUAAGCUUGAAAAAUUGAAGACCUGAACUGCAGAAGUCACCAAGAAAAAUGCUGGAUGGACACACUCUUGGAAAACAUCUGACCUGAUUCAGACAUUGAGACAUGCCUCCAUCAAAUAUGAAAUAUUGAAUGAUAAUGCC
rnacentral:lncRNA from 1 species